UACGUAGGGGGCAAGCGUUGUCCGGAAUUAUUGGGCGUAAAGCGCGCGCAGGCGGUCAUUUAAGUCUGGUGUUUAAUCCCGGGGCCCAACCCCGGAUCGCACUGGAAACUGGGUGACUUGAGUGCAGAAGAGGAGAGUGGAAUUCCACGUGUAGCGGUGAAAUGCGUAGAUAUGUGGAGGAACACCAGUGGCGAAGGCGACUCUCUGGGCUGUAACUGACGCUGAGGCGCGAAAGCGUGGGGAGCAAACAGG
rnacentral:rRNA from 1 species